GACGAACGCUGGCGGCGUGCUUAACACAUGCAAGUCGAACGGAAAGGCCCUGCUUUUGUGGGGUGCUCGAGUGGCGAACGGGUGAGUAACACGUGAGUAACCUGCCCUUGACUUUGGGAUAACUUCAGGAAACUGGGGCUAAUACCGGAUAGGAGCUCCUGCUGCAUGGUGGGGGUUGGAAAGUUUCGGCGGUUGGGGAUGGACUCGCGGCUUAUCACCUUGUUGGUGGGGUAGUGGCUUACCAAGGCUUUGACGGGUAGCCGGCCGGAGAGGGUGACCGGGCCCAGGGGCCUACGGGAGGCACCAGAAGGGAAUGUGGGGCAAUGGGCGGGAGCCUGGCCCAGCGGGGCCGAGUGAGUGAAGAAGGCCUUCGGGUCGGGAAGCCCGGCUUUUGGGUAAGAAAAGCUUUGGGCUUAGACCCAGCGGUUGUGACGGUAACGGAUUAAAAAGCACCGGCUAACUACGUG
rnacentral:rRNA from 1 species